rnacentral:tRNA from 1 species
GGGCCCAUAGCUCAUCUGGUAGAGCGCUUCCAUGGCAUGGAAGAGGUGAGGAGUUCGAGUCUCCUUGGGUCCA